AGCUUUGUGCGGUGGCAGUAUAAGAGCCAAUGAGGUUUACCUGAGGCCCCAUUAUUACUACUUGAAAACUUAAUUUUUAAAUAUUUAAACCUAAAUAUAGACAUUAUUUUUAUUAUAAUGGUAUUCUUUUAAUUUUAUUUAAAUAA
ensembl:snRNA U4 U4 spliceosomal RNA